CGGAGGCAGGGAUCGAAAGGUCGCCUCUGAGGAAAGUCCGAGCUCCAUAGGGCAAGGUGCUGGGUAAUACCCAGUGGGGGGGGACCCCAAGGAAAGUGCAACAGAGAGAUACCGCCAAUACAGAGGCCGGUCUUCAGAGGCCAGAGGUCAGAAAAAAUCUGGCGUCCGGCUUCCGAUGACUGACCUCUGGAUUGGUAAGGGUGGAAAGGUGAGGUAAGAGCUCACCGGCAGUCAGGUGACUGGCUGGCCAUGUAAACCCCACCUGGAGCAAGACCGAAUAGGGGAACGAUAAACGGCCCGUUUUGUUCCCGGGUUA
rnacentral:RNase_P_RNA from 1 species